AUUCUUGCAACUAAUUCUUCUGUUACCACCGAAAGGGUCCUGAACGAGUCACACCUACAAGCUUUCCUUCUCCUAAGCUUUUUAACAACCUUCGGUGGCGUCACAGCAGCUUCCCGUGAAGGUAGUUUUUCUUCUUUCUCUGUUACUGUGAUUUCAUUCGUUUCAUUGGCUGGCAGAAUCUCCUUUGUUAUCUCUGUUCGUUCUACUCUCAGAGGUCCAUCGCCAUUUUCUGUAACAUUCUUAGUCUCCACAGAAGCCUCCUUAAUGGUUUCCUGUGAAGGUAGUUUUUCUUCUUUCUUUGUUACUACAACUUCAUUCGUUUUAUUGCCGGGCAGAAUCUCCUUUGUUAUCUCUGUUCGUUCUGUUAUCAGAGGUCCAUCGCCAUUUUCUGUAACAUUCUUAGUCUCGAGAGAAGUAUCCUUAAUGGUUUCCUGUGAAGGUAGUUUUUCUUCUUUCUUUGUUACUACAACUUCAUUCGUUUUAUUGCCGGGCAGAAUCUCCUUUGUUAUCUCUGUUCGUUCUGUUAUCAGAGGUCCAUCGCCAUUUUCUGUAACAUUCUUAGUCUCCACAGAAGUCUCCUUAAUGGUUUCCUGUGAAGGUAGUUUUUCUUCUUUUUCUGUUACUACAACUUCAUUCGUUUUAUUGCCGGGCAGAAUCUCCUUUGUUAUCUCUGUUCGUUCUGUUAUCAGAGGUCCAUCGACAUUUUCUGUAACAUUCUUAGUCUCGAGAGAAGUCUCCUUAAUGGUUUCCUGUGAAGGUAGUUUUUCUUCUUUCUUUGUUACUACAACUUCAUUCGUUUUAUUGCCGGGCAGAAUCUCCUUUGUUAUCUCUGUUCGUUCUGUUAUCAGAGGUCUAUCGCCAUUUUCUGUAACAUUCUUAGUCUCGAGAGAAGAUUCCUUAAUGGUUUCCUGUGAAGGUAGUUUUUCUUCUUUUUCUGUUACUUCAACUUCAUUCGUUUUAUUGCCAGGCAGAAUCUCCUUUGUUAUCUCUGUUCGUUCUGUUAUCAGAGGUCCAUCGCCAUUUUCUGUAACAUUCUUAGUCUCGAGAGAAGUAUCCUUAAUGGUUUCCUGUGAAGGUAGUUUUUCUUCUUUCUCUGUUACUAAAGUUUCAUUCGUUUUAUUGCCGGGCAGAAUCUCCUUUGUUAUCUCUGUUCGUUCUGUUAUCAGAGGUCCAUCGCCAUUUUCUGUAACAUUCUUAGUCUCCACAGAAGUCUCCUUAAUGGUUUCCUGUGAAGGUAGUUUUUCUUCUUUUUCUGUUACUUCAACUUCAUUCGUUUUAUUGCCAGGCAGAAUCUCCUUUGUUAUCUCUGUUCGUUCUGUUAUCAGAGGUCCAUCGACAUUUUCUGUAACAUUCUUAGUCUCCACAGAAGUCUCCUUAAUGGUUUCCUGUGAAGGUAGUUUUUCUUUUUCUGUUACUUCAACUUCAUUCGUUUUAUUGCCUGGCAGAAUCUCCUUUGUUAUCUCUGUUCGUUCUGUUAUCAGAGGUCCAUCGACAUUUUCUGUAACAUUCUUAGUCUCGAGAGAAGUCUCCUUAAUGGUUUCCUGUGAAGGUAGUUUUUCUUCUUUUUCUGUUAUUACAACUUCAUUCGUUUUAUUGCCGGGCAGAAUCUCCUUUGUUAUCUCUGUUCGUUCUACUUUAUGAGGUCCAUCGCUCUUUUCUGUAGCGUUCCUCCCCUCCACAAAUGUCAUCGUAAUGCUUUUCUGUGAAGGUAGUCUUUCUUCUUUCUCUGUUACUAAAGUUUCAUUCGUUUUAUUGCCGGGCAGAAUCUCCUUUGUUAUCUCUGUUCGUUCUACUUUAUGAGGUCCAUCGCUCUUUUCUGUUGCGUUCCUCCCCUCCACAAAUGUCAUAGUAAUGCUUUUCUGUGAAGGUAGUCUUUCUUCUUUCUCUGUUACUAAAGUUUCAUUCGUUUUAUUGCCGGGCAGAAUCUCCUUUGUUAUCUCUGUUCGUACUUCUUUAUGAGGUCCAUCGCUCUUUUCUGUAGCGUUCCCCCCCUCCACAAAUGUCAUCGUAAUGCUGUUCUGUGAAGGUAGUCUUUCUUCUUUCUCUGUUACUAAAGUUUCAUUCGUUUUAUUGCCUGGCAGAAUCUCCUUUGUUACCUCUGUUCGUUCUACUUUAUGAGUUGCGGCUUUAUCGUCCUUCGGCUUUUCUUCAGUGGCAUUGGUAAGAGGCUGUACUGUUGCUUCCUUCUUUAUAACAACUUUUUCGUUAAUUUCAUUACCCUCUUCCUCCGUGACCUUUUUCACGUCCACUUUUUGUGUUAGGGACCCGCUGUUUGGAGUGGUUUCCGUCAGAGUUUCCCUCUCUGUGACAGAUUUUUCGCCGCUUUCUUUACCUUCCUCAUCAAUAACAACCUGUGUUUCCGUAGUCUUUGAUACAUUUCCGUUGGGCAUUACGUCAGUUUCUGUAGUCUUUUCAACGACUGUCUUGUUUCCGGUUACAUGCCCCGUUUCAUCUGUAUUAUUAUAGACUUUCCUCUCCACGGUCUUGAUGGUGUCAUUAGUGCCACUGUCCAUGCUCUUUAAAUCAGACAAUUUGGGUAAAUCGUUGAGUCCCCCCUCGUCAACUUUCUGGCGAGGGUUCAUAACGGCCUUCUCCAGGGUUCCGGAGGCCGCCUUGUCGUUCGGGAGCCCUGCGGAGUUCGCUCCGCCGGCCAGCGGCAGGCUGCUGCCGCUCAGAUUCCCCAGCAACAAGAAGAGCGUGCA